CAUGGCCUUUAAGGCGUUGGACUCGAAAUCCAAUGGGGUAUCCCCGCGCAGGUUCGAAUCUUGCUCACAGCGUGA